AGAGUUUGAUCCUGGCUCAGGAUGAACGUUGGCGGUGUGCCUAAUACAUGCAAGUCGAACGGUGACGAUUUUGUAGCAAUACGAAUGAAAUCAUAGUGGCGAACGGGUGAGUAACGCGUUGGUGAUCUGCCUCGAAGUGUGGAAUAACUUCCCGAAAGGGUAGCUAAUACCGCAUAGUCUCUCAAGGUUUAGAAAAUUGAGAGUAAAGGAUUUAUUCGCUUCGAGAGGAGCCUGCGUCCCAUCAGCUAGUUGGUAGGGUAAUAGCCUACCAAGGCAAUGACGGGUAGGGGACCUGAGAGGGUGGCCCCCCACAAUGGAACUGAAACACGGUCCAUACACCUACGGGUGGCAGCAGUAGGGAAUAUUAGAAAUGGGCGAAAGCCUGAUCUAGCAACACCGCGUGUGCGAUGAAGGCCUUCGGGUUGUAAAGCACUUUUUGGAGGGAAUAGGAAGGAAGGUACCUCCAGAAUAAGUCUCGGCUAACUACGUGCCAGCAGCCGCGGUAACACGUAGGAGGCAAACGUUAUCCGGAUUCACUGGGCGUAAAGCGCGUGUAGGUGGUUCUGUAAGUAGGGCGUGAAAGCUCCCGGCUCAACUGGGAGAGGCCGUACUAAACUGCAGAGCUAGAGGAUGGUAGAGGGAGGUGGAAUUCCAGGUGUAGUGGUGAAAUGCGCAGAUAUCUGGAGGAACACCAGUGGCGAAGGCGGCCUCCUGGACCAUUCCUGACACUCAGACGCGAAAGCUAGGGUAGCAAACGGAAUUAGAGACUCCGGUAGUCCUAGCCCUAAACGAUGCAGACUAGGCGUCGGCGGUUUAAUCACCGUCGGUGUCCAAGCUAACGCGAUAAGUCUGCCGCCUGAGGACUACGGCCGCAAGGCUAAAACUCAAAGGAAUUGACGGGUCCCCGCACAAGCAGCGGAGCGUGUGGUUUAAUUCGAUGCUCCGCGAAGAACCUUACCUGGGUUUGACAUAACAGUGGUAGAGAAGUGAAAACGGAUCGACCCUUCGGGGAGCUGUUACAGGUGUUGCAUGGCUGUCGUCAGCUCGUGUCGUGAGAUGUUCGGUUAAGUCCGCUAACGAGCGCAACCCGCGCUGUGUGUUACAAGUGUCACACAGUACCGCCGGUAUUAAGUCGGAGGAAGGUGCGGAUGACGUCAAGUCAGCAUGACUUUAUAUCCAGGGCUACACACACGCUACAAUGGUCAGAACAAUAGGUUGCCAAGCCGCAAGGCGGAGCCAAUCCUCCAAAUCUGGCCUCAGUUCAGAUUGCAGGCUGCAACUCGCCUGCAUGAAGUCGGAGUUGCUAGUAACCGCAGGUCAGCAUACUGCGGUGAAUACGUUCCCGGGGAUUGUACACACCGCCCG
rnacentral:rRNA from 1 species